UUAAAAGCUAUGAAAGGGAUAAGUAAACAUAAAAACAACUUUACAGAGAGAGGGUCUUAGGCUGAGAACCCUUAGGAUGAUUAUGUUGAAACUAACCCUGGAGCUGAGGACUGAAAUUAAAAUUAGGUCUUAUCCGGCGUUGUCGUUAAAGUGUUGAGAAAUAAAUUUGGGUGGUACCGCGAUAGACUUUUCGCCCCAUGG
rnacentral:ncRNA from 1 species